GGGGGUGUGGCUCAAGUAGAGAGUGCUUGCCUGGCAUGCAUGAGGCACUGGGUUCGAUCCUCAGCACCACAU
rnacentral:tRNA from 1 species